UAAAAUGAUGACGUAAACACAUUUCUUCACUUUGACCUGACUUGGCCAGUGAUGAGAAACUUCAGUCUGAUG